rnacentral:rRNA from 1 species
GGGAUAGUUGGGGGCAUUCGUAUUGCGUUGCUAGAGGUGAAAUUCUUGGAUUUACGCAAGACGAACUACUGCGAAAGCAUUUGCCAAGGAUGUUUUCAUUAAUCAAGAACGAAGGUUAGGGGAUCGAAAACGAUCAGAUACCGUUGUAGUCUUAACAGUAANCUAUGCCGACUAGGGAUCGGGCGANCUCAAUUUUAUGUGUCGCUCGGCACCUUACGAGAAAUCANNGUCUUUGGGUUCUGGGGGGAGUAUGGUCGCAAGGUUGAAACUUAAAGGAAUUGACGGAAGGGCACCACCAGGAGUAAACACGCUAACAAGCCUAGCCGCAGUAGCUCUGCUCCGAACAGCAGCCUGAAAGGGUGAGGUGGUUUCAGCCCGGGGUGGUUUUCAAAGCCAUCCCAAAUCUAAAUGCUAGUCCGCCUCCGGGUGGGCGACACCUUCAAAUUGACGGGGAACUCCUAAAGCUCGGUGCACCAAGCCCCAUAAUAUCCGAAAGGGUGGGGUGGCCAGGUUAAUAGCCUCGGGUACGGUAAAAGCCACUGAGAUGUUACAAUGGACAAUCCGCAGCCAAGGCCCUACGUCGCCCUUCGGGGCGAUACGGGACAGGUUCAGAGACUAGAUGGAGGUGGGUCGUUGCAACAUACGGCUUAAGGUAUAGUCCGUCUGCACACGAAAAUGUGCAGGUUGGUUGCCCAUNAAAACGGGAGCCUGCGGCUUAAUUUGACUCAACACGGGGAAACUCACCAGGUCCAGACAUAACUAGGAUUGACAGAUUGAUAGCUCUUUCNUGAUUUUAUGGGUGGUGGUGCAUGGCCGUUCUUAGUUGGUGGAGUGAUUUGUCUGGUUAAUUCCGAUAACGAACGAGACCUUAACCUGCUAAAUAGCCCGNCCGGCUCUUGCUGGUCGCUGGCUUCUUAGAGGGACUGUCGGCGUC